AACCUGCUCUAUCAAAAGAAAGGAUCAACUCUGUGAGCUGAAUGCACACAGAACAAAGAAGUUUCGGAGAAAGCUUCUGUCUAGUGAUUAUGUGAAGAUAUUCCCGUUUCCAACGAAGGCCUCAAAGCGGUCCAAAUAUCCACUUGCAGAUUCUACUAAAAGAGUGUUUCAAAACUGCUCUAUUAUUAAGAAUGUUCAAGUCUCUGAGUUGAAUGCAAACAGCACACAGAAGUUUCUAAGAAUGCUUCUGUCUAGUUUUUAUGUGAAGAUAUUUCCUUUUCCACCAUAGGCCUCAAAACACUCCAAAUGUCCACUUCCAGAUUCUGCAAAGAGUGUUUCAAACCUGCUCUAUGAAAAGCAAGGUUUAACUCU
rnacentral:lncRNA from 1 species